UUCUUUGUCCAUCCUUUGUUUCCAAUUAGAUUAAUGUUUGUUAAUUGAAUGAUUGGUUCCAGAGGGCAGACCUAGGAACAGCUAGAGAGGCAGAUUUCAGUUACUCUUAAGGAAAACCUCCUAACCAUAAGAGCUGGCCCAAAAUGGAAUGGGCUGCCUCAAUUUCCCCUCACUGGAGGUAUGCAAGCACAGGAUGGAUGUCCUCUUGUCAAGGAUGAUAGAAAACAAAUUUUCAUCCAGCUGCCUGGGAGUCAGACGCUAAGGUCAAUGUGAUCCCUUCACUAAAGGCAGGAGGGGAUUUCUCAGAAAUCCAAAUUUCUCAGAAACGAACCAGAAAGGAAGCCACACCUGGCAUAGCCCUCUUGGCCUGGGGGGCAGAACGGGGCUGUUCCCAGUCUGGCUUGGUUUCUGAUUGGAGAGUCUCUGCCUACGACCAAAUCAAACAAAUGUCUGGAGGAGGGAAGCUCUUUGAUGGAAGUCUGUUUGCAGGGAGCGAACUCAACUUAAAACCAGCAGCACGAGCAACUUUGGAUCCGUCCUCUUUACUCUGACUUUACUCAAAUUCGUAGAAGUUGACUGAUCCAAGGCAGAACGAAAGAAGGCCUCCUUCCCUCUGAGGCUGCCUCCACAAGAGGCCUCAGCUUCUUUCUUGUGGCUCCAGAGCCCUCCCUUUUUUGAGCUGUACCCAUCCUCAGAGACGUCACCUUAGCAGCAUCUCACUUUCAGGUUCAGCUCCUUGACAGUCACAAAGACAAGCCCAGAGUGAGGAGAAGCAAGGGCAUGUUCUGGGUGGGGGAUGAUCGGGGUGCAGUGGAGGGAAGUGCAAUGAGCAGGACCCCUGGAGUUGGACAACUUAUCUGGCCAGAAACUCCAGUAACUCUAUCAGAGGUAUCACACUCAUGACCCACCGGCCACAAGUGACCCACCACACUCCCGGCGUGACUCGACCCAAAUGAAAAUGUAAAAUACUUAAGAAAAUAAAGGAAAAUACAACAAAACA
rnacentral:lncRNA from 1 species